ACGUAGUUUUGAGUGGGUAGUUUUAAUCUACUUGGAGGUUGUCAGCAAAGUACCCAGUGGAUGGGUAAUAUUUUUUCUUCAAUUGGCAGACAUUUUUUUCUCACCUUAGCCGACGCGUGUGUCGAUUUGUUGCUGAAAGACAGAAAUAUUUUAUCCUUGAACAUGAAGAGGCCACCAGACCGAGUUUCGGUGCCGUAACAGUUUGACGGAGAAGUUUUUUAUGACCAACGAGUGGCCCCGCAGCAUCUUUAAAAGCAUAGUCUUGUUCAGUUCCAGUUGGUAUUGGAGAUUUCAGCUACAACAAAACCAGAGGAUUUCUAGCGGCUGGCUGAAAGCGGUUCGGAAGUUGACGAUGGAACUUUAUUCGACCUUAUUAUUCUUAGCACCAUCGAGAGAUCAAAUCGAAAACCAGCAUGAACCACAAAAGGACAGGAACAGGAACAGCAUCAGGAACGGAUCCCAGCAAACAUCCGAAAACGUGAUUUUUGGAAAUAUAGAGAAAACAUGGACUAUCUUUACUCUUCCGAUUCUGGCCGGAACUACGGCUAAACCGUCCGUAGUAUGUCAUGGAGGUCCAGCACAGUCCAGAGAGUAGAUCGCUGGAAUAUGAUUUUGUUGCCGUCAGUUCCGGAAUAACUUAAGGUUGGACUUUUAUCGUGUUAUCCCAUCUUACGGAACCAACCAACCCUUCGAUAUUUUUUUUAUGUAACCAGCAACAGCAAUGACUGGCGGAAAAUUCUUCAACGUGCCGUAAAUUUUAGCCGAAAGUUCACUGUAAGUAUGUCCUCCAAAAUGUAUGUGAAAAGUAAAACUUUUUUCAUCUUAAUAAAAACAAUAUAUAAAUAUAUUUACAUCAAAAUAUUGAUAAAACAAACCUUUUAUCCGAAAUACAUAUUCUUGGGAAGAAAUCCUCAUUAAAAAAAUAAUAAAACAUUAAUUUUAUAGAACUAUUUCAUUUUUCCCAUAAAUUAACGAAGUAAGUGAUUUCUACCCACUGGUACCUUAAAGCACAACUACCUACUUCUAGGUUGUUGUGUUUUAACCUACUAGUAAGUUCCUGCACUGAGGUGGCGAUUUACGUCAAAAGUACCUAGA